CCCCACUGACUCGGUACCGGUACCCCUGUAUUUUAUCAUUUAAUUUUUUUAACUUUCGUUUAUUUGGUAAAUAUUUUCUUAACUCUUCUUGAUCUACACUGUUGGUGAAGGGCUUGUCAGUAAACAUUUCACUGUGAGGUCUACACUGUUGGUUAAGGGCUUGUCAGUAAACAUUUCACUGUGAGGUCUACACUGUUGGUGAAGGGCUUGUCAGUAAACAUUUCACUGUGAGGUCUACACUGUUGGUGAAGGGCUUGUCAGUAAACAUUUCACUGUGAGGUCUACACUGUUGGUUAAGGGCUUGUCAGUAAACAUUUCACUGUGAGGUCUACACUGUUGGUGAAGGGCUUGUCAGUAAACAUUUCACUGUGAGGUCUACACUGUUGGUUAAGGGCUUGUCAGUAAACAUUUCACUGUGAGGUCUACACUGUUGGUGAAGGGCUUGUCAGUAAACAUUUCACUGUGAGGUCUACACUGUUGGUGAAGGGCUUGUCAGUAAACAUUUCACUGUGAGGUCUACACUGUUGGUGAAGGGCUUGUCAGUAAACAUUUCACUGUGAGGUCUACACUGUUGGUGAAGGGCUUGUCAGUAAACAUUUCACUGUGAGGUCUACACUGUUGGUUAAGGGCUUGUCAGUAAACAUUUCACUGUGAGGUCUACACUGUUGGUUAAGGGCUUGUCAGUAAACAUUUCACUGUGAGGUCUACACUGUUGGUGAAGGGCUUGUCAGUAAACAUUUCACUGUGAGGUCUACACUGUUGGUUAAGGGCUUGUCAGUAAAUAUUUCACUGUGAGGUCUACACUGUUGGUGAAGGGCUUGUCAGUAAAUAUUUCACUGUGAGGUCUACACUGUUGGUUAAGGGCUUGUCAGUAAAUAUUUCACUGUGAGGUCUACACUGUUGGUUAAGGGCUCAUCAGUAAACAUUUCACAGUAAAGUCUACAGUUGUUGUAUUCGGCGCGUGUGACUAAUAAAGUUUGAUUUGAUUUGAGUAUGGCGGUUAACUGUUGAACCGUUUCCCCUGCAGCUUUCACAGUGGUUUCAUUUGCUGCGCCUGUUAACCUGUAAAACCAGGUAAAUUUUUAACUUCACCAAACUGGAUCUGAAUGGCCCAAAAGGGCAGCAAAACACACAUGCAGAGGUAAAAGGUGUGUGUGUGUGUGUGUCUCGGUGUGUGUGUGUGUCUCGGUGUGUGUGUG